GUUCCCCUUGCUAAACAAAGAGAAAUCCAACCGGAAAGACUAGAAGGGGUUUUCGCUGGGAUUUAGGGCGAUUGAGGAAAUGCGCAGGCGCUUAGACGGUUUCCAAUCCACCCCGCUGACCACGCAGGACGCAGCCCGGAUUCUCCGAAAACCACUCUGGCCCGUGACCCCCUGCUCUCCGGGGCAAGCUGACUCUUAACCCAGAGGCGGCAGUGUCUCCGGAUCCCCCAUCCUGGGCUGAGGUCGCCGGAGGCUAGGGUCUGAGAUCCCCCGGGAAAGAAGCUCGAUGGGCUGGUUCAUUAGGGACCCAGCUUGGCGGCAGAUGACGAAACCGGGAAGGGCUUCCGCCUUCAGAAAGCGCAUCCCGUAAAUGAGAUGGCCCAGCGGGAUGGCAAGGGCACACGUUCGGGGAGAUUUGAGACGCUCUUGCAGAUCAUUCCAGCUCCGGAGUGCAGUGGCGGAGCUGGGAGAAAUCGGUCAGACCCCAGCUUCGGAGGCGAUCCCUGGGUUUGGAUCACACUUCGCAGAAGAAACUCACCGCCCGACCUUGGGAGCCUCUGCCCGACCGGAAAAUGGAGUUUCCGGAGCCCACCUCUAAACCGGGUGUGGCACAAAGCAAACGGACGAAAGCGCUAGUCUUAGUAGGCGUCAGGUUCCAGUCUCCUCACCUCAGUCU
ensembl:lncRNA